GGCGUAAGGAGCUCCCCGAGAUCAUUGCCGUUCACUCCAGAGUCUGCAGGGAAGCAGCUGGGACAGGCAGCGACAUAGUGCCGGGGAGGAAGAAAUAGAGUGUUUUCAAGGAGGAAAGAAUGUGAACAUCUGAAAUAAAAGCACUGCUACAGAUCCCAGCCCUUUCCGGCAGUGGGUCUCCGUUACCUGCCACAAGCAAGCACUUGCGAUGGCAGAGCUGCAAGAGCUCCGGCAGCCGUCAAAACCAGAGGGAGCCGGGUCGGUUUGCCCAGGAGAGGACAAUCCUGCUGGCGUGCUGAGAUGGUACCAGCCAUCGCCGGCCAGACACAGAGCAACAGCGCUUGGCAAGGCGUGGGGAAGGAUUGUGGCUGGAGCAGCUCUUUGAUGGUCAUCACCGCUCGGUGCAACCGGUGUCUUCUCCUCUGCUCGCUGCCCCACCAGCCCACAUCUUUCCACAUCACAGCAUCAUCUGAGACAGCGAGAUGAACUCCAGCUCAGUUUGGUGAGCUGAGCACAGAUCUGAGCGCCCAAGUCUUUCUGGUGCAGCAUUAACCCAGAGGGUCAGAGGAGACCAGCUCAUCCCCGUGUGCCUCAGUUUCCUCCCAAAGCCCUGUUCUCCCUGGCCAGCAUGGGGGACUGCCAAGAGCCUUCACAUAUGUUAACCAUUUUCAAGAGGGAUGGUGGGCUGAAGACAAGCCCUUCAGUCUUGCUGGAGCCAAGAAUGAGAGACCAGAUGGUGCAUGACCUGACAAAGCCCCCUGUGAUCUUCUGUUUGUUAUUCCCCUACAAGCACAUUGCCCUGGGAAAAAUCCAAGGGUUCGUUUCCAGGACCCAGACUCUUUUCAUGUGUAAUAACAACUGCACCUACUCUGGCCACACGCGUUGCUCACAUGAGGCCCUCUUGCUGCUGCAAUAAGGUUUUUGGGUGCAGGGGGGCCGGUGAGGUCUCCUAGAAAACCAGGCUUUAGCUCAGCAUUCAGCUCCUCCGGGGUGUGGCUGUAAUUAUCCUCCCGUCCCAUGUUUGUAGAGCACCUAACAAGAAAGAGUCCCAGCCGUGACAGUCCUCCCAUGGGCGUUACUCCAAAAUUACUAGCAACAAGAAUAUUUUGAAAAUAGAAACCUCUGCUCUGGGCUAUGUAGUAAUUAAUCAUUAAUAAAUCAUAACACCCAGGAGGAACUUUAAUGUUGCAAAGUUGAUUUUAAGAGCUGUCUAAGUGGACCUGAGUGCAGAAGCGGAUCUAUAACACGCUCCUCAGGUGGAGCGUGUCAGCUUCCCUCCCACCCCAAUUAAUUUCUGUCAGGCAAUGAAUUUGGAUGGCCAGUCUCUGCGAGGCAGGAGAUCAGUCUCAGUACCUGUGUGUGCGGCACGGUCAUGAUUGGAAAAGAUCAAGGCGCGCAUUUGCAAUAAUAACAAUAAUAAUAAUGUCCCCAGGGUGACAUUUCAAAUGCAAAUGAAAAGAAUAAAAAUAUCAGUUCCUGUUAUAACUUUGUUGCUGCUGUAACCGAACCCAAGUGAAGACGUGAAGCUGUCCCCUCUGCCUGCCUGGCAGCAGAGCUGCAAUUCUCUGUUUAUUUUCAUUCCUAGCCCGAGCAGAUGAGGACUCAGCCAUGAGCUGAGAAACAAGGUGAGGAGCCGGGGCUGAAGAGACAGUCUCAUGGUGGCACUUACCUGAUGUUAGUCUCAGGUAUGUAAAGCGAAGGGUGACAGCAGCUAUGUAUGGUGUGACUAAUAAUUAAUCCACCACACUGAGAGCUCAGCAGAGCCCUGUAGUGAGCCCACAAACCCACCCUGGCCAGGGACAGGCUCCGCUCCCGGGGCUUCGGCUCUCAGGGCUCUGCCAGGCGUAAUGUGCCCCCUCCCCGCCUCCUGCCACCAGCGCUGGGAUGGGAAACGCUUGUGGCGUGGACCCAGCAGGAAAGAUUUCUUGCAGUUUUGAUUUCAGUCAGUCUUAACAGUUGUUGUUCGCCUGCAAUAUCUAACUGCAUCCCUUCUCUCUCCCUGCGUUAAUAGACACAACUUCCUUCCCUUCCCUUCAAAGAUGCGAUGGUGUUGGGUGUUUGCUGGUGUGUUUUGUUGCCUUUGCACAAAUGCACAUAGAUAGAUAUAUAUAACUACUGAGGGCACCUUUUUAUCUGAAAUUACGGUAUCAUUCAGUUUUAAUUUUUUAGUUAGAAACUUUGUGCACGGUUUGUGUGUGUCCUUGGAA